rnacentral:rRNA from 1 species
UGCCAGACUCCUACGGGAGGCAGCAGUGAGGAAUAUUGGUCAAUGGUCGGGAGACUGAACCAGCCAAGCCGCGUGAGGGAUGAAGGUACAGAGUAUCGUAAACCUCUUUUGUCAGGGAACAAAGGCGGGGACGUGUCCCCGGAUGAGUGUACCUGAAGAAAAAGCAUCGGCUAACUCCGUGCCAGCAGCCGCGGUAAUACGGAGGAUCCAAGCGUUAUCCGGAUUUAUUGGGUUUAAAGGGUGCGUAGGCGGUUUUAUAAGUUAGAGGUGAAAUCUCGGGGCUCAACUCCGAAAUUGCCUCUAAUACUGUAGGACUAGAGAGUAGUUGCGGUAGGCGGAAUGUAUGGUGUAGCGGUGAAAUGCUUAGAGAUCAUACAGAACACCGAUUGCGAAGGCAGCUUACCAAACUAUAUCUGACGUUGAGGCACGAAAGCGUGGGGAGCAAACAGGAUUAGAUACCCGAGUAGC